rnacentral:lncRNA from 1 species
UCAUUAAGAAAAUCAUCAUUUGCAUCCAUAUACUUUGUCGAGAUGACUACUCAUAUUGGCCAAAUCAGCAUUUGCACACAUAUACUUUGUCGAGAUGACUAGUCAUAUAUGCCAAUAUUUCCAGCACGGGAUUUUUAUGGCUAGUCAUAUAGGCCAAUAUUUCCAGCAUGGGAUUUUUAACCAAGGCACGUGAUUUUGCUUACUAAUUGUCCUUUUGACAUACCAAAAAGGCUGGGGCUGG